UACGUAGGGUGCGAGCGUUGUCCGGAAUUAUUGGGCGUAAAGGGCUCGUAGGCGGUCUGUCGCGUCGGGAGUGAAAACUCAGGGCUUAACCCUGAGCCUGCUUCCGAUACGGGCAGACUAGAGGUAUGCAGGGGAGAACGGAAUUCCUGGUGUAGCGGUGGAAUGCGCAGAUAUCAGGAGGAACACCGGUGGCGAAGGCAGGUCUCUGGGCCAUAACUGACGCUGAGAAGCGAAAGCAUGGGGAGCGAACAGG
rnacentral:rRNA from 1 species